CAGCCGCCGCGGGAACACGUAGGUGGCAAGCGUUGUCCGGAAUUAUUGGGCGUAACGGGCUCGCAGGCGGUUUCUUAAGUCUGAUGUGAAAGCCCCCGGCUCAACCGGGGAGGGUCAUUGGAAACUGGGAAACUUGAGUGCAGAAGAGGAGAGUGGAAUUCCGCGUGUAGCGGUGAAAUGCGUAGAGAUGUGGAGGAACACCAGUGGCGAAGGCGACUCUCUGGUCUGUAACUGACGCUGAGGAGCGAAAGCGUGGGGAGCGAACGGGAUUAGAUACCCCAGUAGUCCCUGUCUCUUAUAA
rnacentral:rRNA from 1 species